rnacentral:lncRNA from 1 species
AUGCGCGGCCCUCGGCUCGGCCUGGGCGCACCUUUUCUCCCUCCUGCCACAAUGUGAGCGCUCAGCCGAGCAGAUAACCGCCGGCUGCCUGCUCCACCCCCGGCCCUUGCCCACUCCGCCCACUCCCGAGCGCCCAGGAUGCUGACUGCAGGGAUGGAGGAACUUUUUCCACUGCAGAAGAACAAUGUGGUGCCUAUGGGAACAUGCCAUGUGACCAUUCUCCAUUCCUCCCAGCAAGGCACGCUGGGUGAUGUGAAGAACCCAGGAAGGAAAGCUGGAGGAGAGCAUGGUGGGUGGCAGAGCGGGAUUUGGGGAAGCCCUGAGCCCUGCUCCAUCUGACCCUCAGUACAUCUGUCUCCGUCACUGUCUACCUGCCCUGCUCACGCGUGCCCCUCACUCACCCCACGGCAACAGGCCUAUCUUUCCCCCAACAUCAAAAGAGCUAUUUCAGCGACUGUCGCUGUACCUGGCCCAUAGCCUCUAGUCUAUAUAUGUCUGUCAAAUGAAUUGGCUAUAAACAUGAAAAGGUUUCUCCUGAAAA